GUUGAAUAAGUCUGCAUUGCGGACAGCUACUCCAUGUACCUCCAAAAUAAAGCUUCCUAAUGUAGUCAUACCUACAUUCACUGAUUUACCUUCUAUGACGAAGUCAACAACUUCAA